UACGGAGGGUGCAAGCGUUGUCCGGAUUCAUUGGGUUUAAAGGGUGCGCAGGCGGGACAUUAAGUCAGGGGUGAAAGACGGUUGCUCAACAAUCGCAGUGCCUUUGAUACUGGUGUUCUUGGGUAACCUUGAGGUAGGCGGAAUGGGUGGUGUAGCGGUGAAAUGCAUAGAUACCACCCAGAACUCCGAUUGCGAAGGCAGCCUACUGGAGGUUUACCGACGCUCAGGCACGAAAGCGUGGGGAUCAAACAGG
rnacentral:rRNA from 1 species